GACGAACGCUGGCGGCGUGCUUAACACAUGCAAGUCGAACGGAAAGGCCCUGCUUUUGUGGGGUGCUCGAGUGGCGAACGGGUGAGUAACACGUGAGUAACCUGCCCUUGACUUUGGGAUAACUUCAGGAAACUUGGGCUAAUACCGGAUAGGAGCUCCUGCUGCAUGGUGGGGGUUGGAAAGUUUCGGCGGUUGGGGAUGGACUCGCGGCUUAUCAGCUUGUUGGUGGGGUAGUGGCUUACCAAGGCUUUGACGGGUAGCCGGCCUGAGAGGGUAACCGGACACAUUGGGACUGAGAUACGACCCAGACUACAACGGGAGGCAACGGUGGGGAGUAGUACACAGUAGGAGGAAGCAUGAUGCGACAACGCAGCGUGCGGGAUGACGGGCUUGGGGUUGUAAACCGAUGUCGCCUGUGACGAAGCGUGAGUGACGGUAAUGGGUAAAGAAGCACCGGCUAACUACGUG
rnacentral:rRNA from 1 species